rnacentral:rRNA from 1 species
AGUGGCGGAAGGGUGAGUAAGGCGACGGUAACCAACCCCAAGGUUGGGUAUAGCCGCGGGAAACUGCGGGUAAUCCCCAGCGACGUGAGCUGUCGGCAUCGACGGCUCACCAAAGUUCAGGCGCCGUGGGACGGGCCGUCGUGGUAUUAGGUUGUUGGCGGGGUAACGGCCCACCAAGCCUGUGAUGCCUACCGGGCGUGCGAGCGUGGCCCGGCACACUGGGACUGAGACACUGCCCAGACUCCUACGGGAGGCUGCAGUCGAGAAUCUUCGGCAAUGGGCGCAAGCCUGACCGAGCGACGCCGCGUGGAGGACGAAGGCCUUCGGGUUGUAAACUCCUGUCGAGGGGGAGGAAGGGGUAACCUUGACCGAUCCCUGGAGGAAGCACGGGCUAAGUUCGUGCCAGCAGCCGCGGUAAGACGAACCGUGCGAACGUUAUCCGGAAUCACUGGGCUUAAAGCGCGUGUAGGCGGAUCGGCACAUCGGUCCUGAAAGCCCCCGGCUCAACCGGGGAACUGGGGCCGAUACGACCGGUCUGGAGGGACGUAGGGGGACCUGGAACUUCCGGUGGAGCGGUGAAAUGCGUUGAGAUCGGAAGGAACGCCCGUGGCGAAAGCGAGGUCCUGGACGUCUGCUGACGCUGAGACGCGAAAGCUAGGGGAGCGAACGGGAUUAGAUACCCCGGUAGUCCUAGCCGUAAACGAUGGGCACUGGGUAG